GCGGGCAGCGGGUUCACCGAAACGGCCCCAAAUCCGGCCGUGUCUGGUGGGGGAAAAAAGCCACCUCUGCCUCAGCCCGCCCGCCGGUGCGGAACGUGCUCAGCGAGGCUGCAGAAGAGCCAAGCCCGGCGCGCCGGCGCGGCUUUGAGCCUGGGUUGCCUGGGGAGGCUCGUUCGUCCCGUCCCACAAACGCGGGAUGCGAGGGGUUUAGUGUAAGUUCUAUAAACUAAGGUGUUUUAAGCUAAGGGCGUUCCCACGUGGUGCCAGGUGCUGCAGAUGCCUGCAGUCAAAGUGAUAGACUCGCACAGGUCGGGGCCCUGCAAGCACGGACAGGUGUGUUCGUCCUGGGCCCACCUGCAGCAUGGGACAAACGCACGGAGGGUCCCUCAGGUUCCCCAGGGGCACCGGAAUUAAGUGCUGACCUGUUCCCGGGCGCUGAGGCCUGAAGAUGCUGUUGCUGCUGUCCCCAGGGGAGCCACGUUCCUGGUCAGACAGGCUGCAUCACCACCCAGUUUGUGUCUUCUAGUGAUAGAAUCUUCUGCAGGAUGACAAUUCAGCUUCAACCAGCUGCAGGGCUGCGAAACAAGAGCCCAAGAACUUCCAAGAGACAGAGUCCCUGAUAUGAGCAGAUGAGCUCACUUUACAAUGCCUAACCAGAGGGAAAGACCUAGACACCUGGAAUGUCAGAAAGGAGUAAUUGUUAGGCAGAAGCUUCAGCUAUGAGUCCAAGUUAAAGUUCUGCUGCAAGCUCUGUUGCCAGAAAGCAUUUUGGAGAGAUCAGAUCAUGCUGAGAGCCUGCUAGUGGACAGUUUCUUCAAAAAAAGAAACAGAAGAAUUAGAAACAAGAGGAGCCCUUCCAAUGAAGAUGGACAAAAAGAAAAAUCUAGUCUACUGAUCCAAAUAAUGCAGGCAGACUAGCACAUGCUGGAAUCUGGGACCGAAACCAAAGAGAGCUGACAUGAGGACGUACUGCGGGGAGGCACAAGCACAGCAAUGAAUGGUGCCAUUGUGUGACUAUUUUAAUUAAUUUUUGUAAUGAAGCCAAAGCUCUAAUUUACCACAUCCCAAAAGUAAAUAGAAAAGGUUAUGACCUUAAUUUCAGAGGUGGGGAAGGAAAACCUAAUUGCUAGGUAGUCAGCUGUCACUCAUUAUUGCAUCGGAUAGAUACACUUGGUGUGUUACUAUGAAUAAUGCAGAUUCAACCAUCAAAAUAGUGGGUAAUGACGGUUUCAUUCUCUCUCCCCUUCAUCUUCUUUCCAAGUUUUUGAUUAGUAUUAUUUUGUACCAGUUUUAUCAUGUGGAUUGCAAUACUCCCAACUCUACCAGACUCUUGAGUAGAUCUGAGUAAAUAGAAUAGCUUUUUAUUUUUUGUCUUCUCAGUACACAGAUGUGUGCAACUUAAGCAGGAUGCAAAAUACAUGGAGAUUACAGGAAGUUCCUUCUGCCUUCUUACUCAAGUGGGUGUAUUCCUAUACAGGAACUAGUGAUGGAAAGAGUUGUUCAGUACAACAUGUCUACAAGCUGAAAAGGUGCAAAAGCCACAUCUGUUUCUAACCACAGCCACUAAAUAAAUACAAUAAAUUUCAUUAUGUGCUGUUCAAACCAUGGCUCUAUUUGCAUCACUCAGACUGUGCCCAGCCAUCCUUGCACUUAACUUGUGGGGUCAUUUCUGUGGGCCAAGGGAAAGAUGCAUGGACAGAUCUGAGACUGGUGUAAACUCUUUAUGUCUUAUCAAAUGCUGUACCUUGAUUUGUGCCCACAUUAAAAAAGUACAAUACUGUGCACUCGCUAAA